AUUGAACGCUAGCGGCAUGCUUAACACAUGCAAGUCGAACGGUAACAGGCCUAGCUUGCUAGGCGCUGACGAGUGGCGGACGGGUGAGUAACGCGUAGGAAUUUACCCUGCAGAGGGGGAUAACCUGGGGAAACCCAGGCUAAUACCGCAUGAGCCCUAAGGGCGAAAGCGUGGGACCGCAACGCCACGUGCGAGAGGAUGAGUCUGCGUCGGAUUAGCUAGUUGGUGGGGGAAAGGCCAACCAAGGGGAAGAUCCGUAGCUGGGCUGAGAGGACGACCAGCCACACGGGGACUGAGACACGGCCCAGACUCCUACGGGAGGCAGCAGUGGGGAAUAUUGGACAAUGGGCGCAAGCCUGAUCCAGCAAUGCCGCGUGUGUGAAGAAGGCCUGCGGGUUGUAAAGCACUUUCAGUGGGGAGGAAGGCCUAAGUUUUAAUAGAGCUUAGGAUUGACGUUACCCACAGAAGAAGCACCGGCUAACUCUGUGCCAGCCGCCGCGGUAA
rnacentral:rRNA from 1 species